ensembl:snRNA U6 U6 spliceosomal RNA
AUGCUGGCUUUGGCAGUGCAUAUGCUAAAAUUGGAACAAUUGAAGGAAGAUUCGCAUGGCCCCUGUGCAAGGAUGACACACAAAAUUGUGAGGUAUUCCAUAUUUAA